rnacentral:rRNA from 1 species
CCCGCUGAACUUAAGCAUAUCAAUAAGCGGAGGAAAAGAAACUAACAAGGAUUCCCCUAGUAACUGCGAGUGAAGCGGGAAAAGCUCAAAUUUGAAAUCUGGCGGUCCCUUGACUGUCCGAGUUGUAAUCUAGAGAAGUGUUACCUGUGCUGGACCGUGUACAAGUCUCCUGGAAUGGAGCAUCAUAGAGGGUGAGAAUCCCGUCUUUGACAUGGACUACCUGUACGUUGUGGUGCGCUCUCAAAGAGUCGAGUUGUUUGGGAAUGCAGCUCAAAAUGGGUGGUAAAUGCCAUCUAAAGCUAAAUAUUGGCGAGAGACCGAUAGCGAACAAGUACCGUGAGGGAAAGAUGAAAAGAACUUUGGAAAGAGAGUUAAACAGUACGUGAGAUUGCUGAAAGGGAAACGCUUGAAGUCAGUCACGUUGGCUAGAAAUCAGCCUUGCUUUUGCUUGGUGUACUUUCUGGUUGACGGGUCAGCAUCAAUUUUGACCAUUGGAUAAAGUCUUUGGGAAUGUGGCAUCCUUUUGGAUGUGUUAUAGCCCAUUGUCGGAUACGGUGGUUGGGAUUGAGGAACUCAGCAUGCCGCAAGGCCGGGUCAUUUUUGACCACGCUCGUGCUUAGGAUGCUGGCAUAAUGGCUUUAAUCGACCCGUCUUGAAACACGG